CACGCCGGCCCCGGGCGGGCGCGAUCCGAGCUGGACGAGGAGCCGGGCGGACGCGCCGACAGGCCGGGCGGACGCGGGCGGCGCGGCUGGUUACUUUGGGCACAGACCUCUUCACUAUUGGACAGAAGAGCCCGACAGCUGUUCUCUCUUAAGGUGUCCUUGAGUGAGGAGAGCAGGGAGUGAAAAAGGAGAAGGAAAGAAAAUUGAUUAAGAAAGGUGGGUACAAAUAACUUUGGAAGGUGAAAUAAAAGGGUUCCCUUGGCAAAUGAGGCUACUAAGCAU
rnacentral:lncRNA from 1 species